rnacentral:lncRNA from 1 species
CUAUGAAAAUACCUGCUCUGCUAGGGGGCUUCUAGUUGAAAACUCAUUAAUUUAAAAAAUUAAUUUUGAAUUCAGCCACCUAUUCUUUUUUCUAAUUGUUUCUUGUAGCUUUUGCUUUGAUUGGAAUAACUUUAUUCUAGGAAUAAAGUUUUGUCAUCUGCAAACAUGAAUCAUGUACACAUCUGAUUUUCUUAUAUUUAUGUCUCCUUUUUCUCUUCAAAUUACAUUGCCUUUACCAUUGAUGGGAACCUGGGUAAUAAAGAAAAAAGAAAAAAAUUGCAUUCCCUACCACCUCCUCCAAAACAAUGUCAAAUGUUAGUUAUAAUGAUAGGCAUCUUAGUAUGCUAUCCCAAUUUAAUGGAACUGUUGCAGAUAU